rnacentral:lncRNA from 1 species
AAGCUUUAGAAUGCACAGAAAAGCAAAGAGCGGAAACCCUCUUUUCGGUAAAACUCCUUUUUCUCGAAAAUCGUCCAUCAGAUCUGAAAUCUGUCAGUGCCAUUGGUUCCAGAACAGCUGAACCGAUCGAAACGAGCUAUUGGAUCGCUAUGAACGGAGUCCGAUACUUGCCGAAAGCCAACUCUACUCUGUAACUUCUCCGAAAAAAUUGGGUUACUAUUCACUUUAAGUGAAAACUAAUAAUCACGUAACUUCUCCGUUCUAGCUCAUUUUCUCCUGAAACUUGACGAGUGCUUAUAUAAUUAAAUUACACACAUAAACAUCAUCAACAGAGAGUUUAGUUGUACUGUCAAAAAUCUCAGUCCUUACAUGUGAUUGGAGGUAUUGUAGCUGUUGGUCCUAUCACCUAUACAUAUAUUGACCAGGAGCGAACUCCAAUGCGAAAUUUG